rnacentral:rRNA from 1 species
CCCCUACGGGGGGCAGCAGUGAGGAAUAUUGGUCAAUGGUCGGGAGACUGAACCAGCCAAGCCGCGUGAGGGAUGAAGGUACAGAGUAUCGUAAACCUCUUUUGUCAGGGAACAAAGGCGGGGACGUGUCCCCGGAUGAGUGUACCUGAAGAAAAAGCAUCGGCUAACUCCGUGCCAGCAGCCGCGGUAAUACGGAGGAUGCGAGCGUUAUCCGGAUUUAUUGGGUUUAAAGGGUGCGCAGGCGGGCUGUUAAGUCAGCGGUCAAAGCCCGGGGCUCAACCCCGCCCCGCCGUUGAAACUGGCAG